AUGCGUCCUCCAGCUUCCUCUCAAUAUGCAGCAGUUUCAGCACCUGUAGUAGGAGACGGGACACGCGACGAGUGUUGGGAGGUUCUGGGCAAAGAAGGGACACUCCAGUCUCAGGAGGCUCUGGGCAGAGACGAGAUACGCAAGUUUCAGGAGGCUCCGAGUAGAGACUGGACAUCCGACGAGUCUUGGGAGGCUCCAGGAGGAAACUGGACCCUCGAGUCUCGGGCGGCUCUGGACGGAGAUGGAACACUCCUGUCUCAGGAGGCUCCAGGUGGAAAUGGGACACUCGAGUCUCAGGAGGCUCCGGGCGGAGAUGAGACACUCCAAUCUCGGGAGGCUCUGGACGGAGAUGGGACACUCCAGUCUCAGGUGGCUCCGGGCAGAGAUGGGACACUCCAGUCUCGGGCGGCUCUGGACGGAGAUGGGACACUCCUGUCUCAGGAGGCUCCAGGUGGAGAUGGGACACUUGAGUCUCAGGAGGCUCUGGGCGGAGAUGAGACACUCCAAUCUCGGGAGGCUCUGGACGGAGAUGGGACACUCCAGUCUCAGGUGGCUCCGGGCAGAGAUGGGACACUCCAGUCUCGGGCGGCUCUGGACGGAGAUGGAACACUCCUGUCUCAGGAGGCUCCAGGUGGAGAUGGGACACUCGAGUCUCAGGAGACUCCGGGAGGAGAGGAGACACUCCAAUCUCGGGAGGCUCUGGACGGAGAUGGGACACUCCAGUCUCAGGUGGCUCCGGGCAGAGAUGGGACACUCCAGUCUCGGGCGGCUCUGGACGGAAAUGGGACACUCCUGUCUCAGGAGGCUCCAGGUGGAGAUGGGACACUCGAGUCUCAGGAGGCUCCGGGAGGAGAGGAGACACUCCAAUCUCGGGAGGCUCUGGACGGAGAUGGGACACUCCAGUCUCAGGUGGCUCCGGGCAGAGAUGGGACACUCCGGUCUCGGGCGGCUCUGGACGGAGAUGGGACACUCCUGUCUCAGGAGGCUCCAGGUGGAGAUGGGACACUCGAGUCUCAGGAGGCUCCGGGAGGAGAGGAGACACUCCAAUCUCGGGAGGCUCUGGACGGAGAUGGGACACUCCAGUCUCAGGUGGCUCCGGGCAGAGAUGGGACACUCCAGUCUCGGGAGGCUCUGAAUGGAGAUGGGACACUUCAGUCUCAGGAGACUCUGGGCGGAGAUAUGAUACCAGAGUCUUGGGAGGCUGCGGGCCGAAUUCCCCACAAGGGUAUUUACCAGGCUCCGUGGGUUCCUCAGUUACCUUCUCCCAGUCCUCACAACAAGCCCAUGCGCCCUCCAGGUUCCUCUCAGGAUCCAGCAGUGUCAGCACCUGUCGUAGGAGAUCUGGAGGCAUAUCUUCUCCCAGAUUGGGGUCCAUGGCCAAGGAAUGCUCAGCCAUAA
rnacentral:lncRNA from 1 species